GAUGAACGCUGGCGGCGUGCUUAACACAUGCAAGUCGAACGAGAAAUGUAGACGGAAACCUUCGGGCGGAAGCCUUCAUUUCGAGUGGCGGACGGGUGAGUAACGCGUGGGUAACCUGCCUCAUACAGGGGGAUAACAGUUGGAAACGACUGUUAAUACCGCAUAAGACCACAGCAUCGCAUGAUGCGGGGGUAAAAACUCCGGUGGUAUGAGAUGGACCCGCGUUCGAUUAGCCAGUUGGCGGGGUAACGGCCCACCAAAGCGACGAUCGAUAGCCGAUCUGAGAGGCUGACCGGCCACAUUGGGGCUGAGACACGGCCCAAACUCCUACGGGAUGCAGCAGUGGGUAAUAUUGCACAAUGGCGUAAACCCUGAUGCAGCGACGCCGCGUGAGUGAAGAAGUACUUCGGUAUGUAAAGCUCUAUCAGCAGGGAAGAAAAUGACGGUACCUGAGUAAGAAGCCCCGGCUAACUACGUG
rnacentral:rRNA from 1 species